CCCCGUGAAGCUCUUCAGAAUGUUAGAAACAGGCCCUAUUAUGUCCCCCAUUCUACCUUCACAGGUGGGAUGCGGGUCUGGGAGUGGGACCCUUGAGAGAGUCAAUGAAGUUAAUUAGCAAUCUAUGUCACAGCAAGCUCCCUGGAAACUCUCAGAACAGCCAACAGGUUUCCUCUCCGCCCCGGGCUCCAGGCCAUAUUUUCGUUUUGGCCAGUUCCUUAGCCCCAGAGAAAAUCUGGCUUCACCUAGAAUGAUUUAGAAACACCUAAGCCCGCGAUGCUUUCUGGAGGGUCUCAGGCCUUGGCUUUCUCAGUAGCAAACAGAAUGUCCAUCUGUCCGCUUCAAGGCGCUCCCACCGGCAGCUGGAGUAAGGUAACUCCCGGCGUCCUCCGCGGCGCCCAUGUGGAUACAGCCCAGGCGCAGAGGGGAAGACUCCUGAGAGUCCUCGCGAAGGAGGGAAACACACCAGAGCUAGUUGUGAAGGCGCAAGAGGUCACUUGUAUCUCUAGGGGCAGUGAGGGCUGCAGCACUCAUGGAAACCUUCCUGAUGGAGGUGUGUUGACCAGAAUUUGGGAAGUGCAGAAGAUCUGAAGAUAGGGAAAGACAGAACGGCUUCUGGUUGGCCACAGCAUGAACAUAGUUGUGGAGAAUAAACAUCAUAGGACUUUUUUGGUCCCAUCAAGAUUGAAGGUUUGUUGACGACAGUCAGGGCUUUCAUCUUUGUGUGCCCCUCAGCCUUCAGCACAGAGCUCUGGCCAGGUGAAGCAACAGAGCUAAAGUCUAAUUGACAAGUGACUCUUGGUUUGAAAUCUAAUUGAUUCCUGGGGAGCCAUGACUGAUUGAACCAGCGUAAGACAAACUCUCAUUUUCUAUUUUUGUGCAAACACUAGAGACAAGAGGACAGGAAGCUAUUAACAUGAUGGAAAGAAUGAAACGGACUUACGUUCUGUGGCAGAAACACAACAAGGGAAGACAUUUUGAUCAAAGGAGGUUUUUGAGAGUUUGAGUAGCUUGGGCACCCUGAAACAUUUCAUAUCAGAAGAGGAGAAGCUGCACAUGCUAUUCUUGGGCUCAUCACAGGACACCCCAAAGUUUGGCACCUUGGUGUGCUAAGUACUUUGAAUUAAAGGGGAUUGAAAGAGCCUCAGAAACAGCCCCGGAAGCAAGGCUUCAGCCCUGUCUGGUUAAAGGAUGUAACAUCACUGGGGACCUGAGCAAUCACUCCUCCUUCAUUGUUCUGGACAGUGGGGAGAAGCAGAGAAAGCAAAGGAGAAAAGUCACUGGGAGAGAAAUCUGAUGAGAGAAAGAUAAAGGACUCUAUGACACAACCAAAUAUGAAGUACAAAGAAAGGAAAAAGGAAGCUUAGAAAAAGAUAACACAAAGAGAAGGAGGAGGCAAUUUGGUAGAAGAGGAAAUGAGAAAGAGCUGCUGAUGGAGGUAAUAACACCAAAUGUAUCUUCUUCCAAGACUUGAGAUCUUGUUUCCCCAACUGGCAAGAUAUAAGAAGGCGUCAUGGGUGAGCCUCUGCCUGUGAAGAGGGGGCCAGGGAUAUGGGGUUGCUGAGUGGGAGUGUUGAAGCAGGGCCUGCACAUCACAGGUGGAGGAGGCAUCCACAGAGGACAAUCUGUCCCAGAGGCAGGUCUGCAAGGCAACAUCGGCCCUUAAGAUGCUGACCUGUGAAGAAUUGUGAGAAAUGGUAAAGAACUGUGAGAAUUGUCUGGUGAAAGCUGAUGGGCAAAAGUAGCCAAAGGAUACAGGGAUUGGCUGGUCCCAUUUUCUGGGCACUGCAUGAGAAAAGACUGGAACGUCUUUGUUAGAAGUAAUAGCAGGGAGCCCUGCACCAAGGAAGACACAGAAGAAAACCCUCAGCUCCAGAAAGAGGAAUCCAAAACUUGCCCACACAGCAGAAGUCACCCCUAAGGAUAGAAAAUGGGCACCCUGAAACACCUGCAUUAUAUUUUCCUUUCCUUUCUUUCUAUAGCCUUCUCUUUAUUUCCCCCUUGUCUUAUUCCCCAUUAUCUUUCUUACUCUCCUUUCUUACCUUCCUGUUUUCAUUUCCUCUUCCCUCUAUCCUCCAUCUUUCCUUUCCUUUCUUUUUGCAGUCUUCCCAUUAUUUCGAGGCUGUUAUCUUGCUGAGUAUUUUUUUAUACUGCUUUAGUUCCCACCGUAUUGUAUUAGGAGGCUAGGGGCAUUUGCUCUGCUCCUUAUAUGCUUAUAACCUAACUGGAGCCGAGACUGCUAAACUUCACCCAGUACUGGCUCUCCCCUUCUCUCUUGGUGGCAAACCCAUAAAGUGAUUUGGGGCCAUAUUGCAUCCAGCUUGAAGACUGCAUUUCCCAGUCUUUCCUGUUAGGAGUGGCCAGGUAAUCAAGGUAGAGCCAAUGAGAUGUAAGUUGAUUAUAAUGUGGGACUCUGAGAAAGUUGACCAGCUGUGAAAUACAGGCGCUGGCCAGCUGGUAAUUGCACCCUUUUUGCCCUUUCAUCUUCCUUCUUCCUAUUAAUUGGAGCAUGGGCAUGAUGGUUGGAGCUCCAGAAGCCAUCUUGGACCAUGCAGUGAAUGUGAGGAGGAAACUACAAAAUUCGAGGAGUAAAGAGCAGAUAGAAGGAGCCUAGGGUCAUGUUGACACUGUGUCCACAAUACUAAUCCUGGACUGGAUGUCUCUGGACUUCCUAUACAUUGUUUAAGCCAUCAAUACCUCCAGUCUCUGUGAGUAUAGCUGAACUCAGCCCUAAAUGAUUCACUAACCUCAUCAAAAAAUACUUCACGUGCUCCACUAUCCCCUCCUAGAUCAUUUCCUCUUCUGUCUUCACUAUCAAGUAGGAUUUGAUACUUUGAGGGUAGCCUGGGCACCAUCAAGUUGGAUGGCUCAUCUUAAGCAACAUAGCAUCUCUCACUCUGUUCUCCAUCCAAGAAACCCUUCACAGAAACAACAUGGGACUUUGGGGAGUUAGGGGAUGUCACAGCUGAAGGCCUGUGUCCUUUGUACUUGCAGUAGAGCCUCCUACAGAAGUGUCAUACGGAGAAGUGAAGACAAUCUGUCUGAGGCUGUCAGCUACUGUCCAGAACCUUGGGCAAGGCAACAAUUUAUGAGAUGCCUUUAACUCUGAGUGCAGGAGAGGGCUUCAUCAAACAGAUUUUGCUGGCUGUGUUGUAUGUACAUUCACAAAGUAAUUUACAGUUCCCUUGGAAACAUGAAAAAGUUUGGGUCUAAAUUUAGAGCGUUCACUCUGAGCUGAUGUAAUAAGCUCAAAGAAUAUUCAGAAUGAAGAAACAUGGGACAGUUCACCCAUCAAUUUAUAAAGAUCAAACCCAUCCAUCGCGUCACCGAGACCACAGUUGCUCCUUCAGGAGGUCAGUACCCUGCCUGCUUCUCAUAGUCAAGGGACAGGGGAAGUAACUACUUUUCUGCCUGCUCCAGGAACUCUAGUCCUCAGUGCAUUAUUUUCUGGUUUACUCCUUUGCCUUCUCAGUUGUGUGAGGCCCCAUGACAUUUGCCAUCUGUCUUCUGUUCAAUUUUCUUGCAAAGUGUCUCAGUGUGUGGCCCCAAGGAACCAGCAUGCAAAGCUCUGGUUGCGGCCAGAUUGCAUUUUCAAGAUUCGUCCACAUGCUGGUUUCCUAGGAAGGUUCUGACAGCCUGUGAGGUAAUGCACAUCCAUUUCCAGAGUAGGAGUGAGGCAGAGCACUGGAAGGAAUAAAAGCUCCAGAGAAACGCCACCUUUUUUUGUUGAAACGCCACCUUUUUUUGUUGACAUACGGUCUGUUGACUGUCCCUGGGAACACAGUUCCUUCCCUGGGCCUGAUAAUUGAUCACCUCUUGCCUGAAUUGGAGAUGAGUCCUCCAACUGAUAUUGCUCGGCUUCCUGCCUGUAGCCCUCCCAGCCAUUCUCCAGACGGCUGGAGAGAGGAGCUGGCCAGCACCGCGGCUGCUCACUAGCACCCCCUGCUGGGCAGUAACGCUGUGACCUUCCCGCCAUUUGCCCUCCAGUUCCUUACUUUCACCACACCCCACACACCUUACCUCAAAAACUCCUUAAUUUUGAGGCUCUGAUAUCACCUCUUCCAGGAAGCUUUCCAUAAUUCUCACCAUGAUUCUGGGGUAAUUGCUUCUCCUUUUCACUCCCACAGCCAGCACUCUAUCAUUGCACUUUUAUGUUGCCUCGGUAAUCUAUUUUUAUAUUUCUGUCUUCUCUGUUAGACUGUGAGCUCCGCAAGGACAAGGACUGAACUGCAUUGGGAAACUGUUGGACGGUUAUAGCAGAGGAAUGACAUGAUCUGACCUAUGCUUUGAAAGAUCACGUGGCUGCUUAUGGAGAAUAAUCUCAUGAGUUGGGGAGGGGUGCAAGUUGGAAGUAGAAAAACCAGUUAGAAGGCAGGUGAGACAUGCUGGUGGCUUGGACCAGGAUGGCAGUGGAAGAACAAGUAUGUCAUGGUCAGAUUCUAGACACCUUUUGAAGAAGAAUUAAUGGGAUUUCCUAAUGGAUUGAUAGUAGGUGAGAGAAAGAAAGAAGUUAAAGAUGGUGCCAGGUAUUUUGGCCUGUGGAAAUAGAAGAUUGGCAUUGCAUUACCUAUGGCAGGAAAGAUCACAGAGGAUCAGGUGUAGAAUAGGGACUAAUUAAAGGUUCAACUGGGGACAUAUAAAAUUUGAGAUAGCGAUUAGAACUCCAGGAAGUCGUAUUGAGGGGAACGUUGAAUAUAUGAAUCUGGAAUUUGGGAGAAGUUGGGCUGGAGAUGUAAAUUUGGUGAAUAUUCAUGGAAAUGGGUGGGGUGAGUGUAGGAGGAGAAAAGAAAGAAUCCAAGGACUGAUCCUUGUGGCACACCAAUAUUUAGAGAUUUCAUUGAUGAGGAGAGCCCAGCAAAGGAGAAUGAGAAGGGGCAACUAUGGAGGUGAGAGGGGAACUAAAAGAGUGGAUUAACUGAUACCAACUGAAGACCGUAUUUCAGGGGAGAAUACAAUUCUGUUAAGAGUUGAGAAUUAAUUUGAUAAGAUCUGUUAGUCCUAUUAGAUCUUCAGUCUGAGGUUUGAGAAACAGACCAUUGGAUUUCAAAUUGUGAAAGUCAUAAAUGAUUUAAGAACAGAGGAAAAUAGAUUAUACUAAUAGAGAGGAUAUCUGCUGGACUGAUGUCCUUAAGUAGGAGAGAGGGAUAAGAUCCAAUGGUUUUAGAUAUGACCUAGUCACUAGAGGAAAGGCAGAGUAUAUGGCCAUAAAAGCAAGCUGAUUGGUAGAUGGGAAGGUGGGAGUGGAUAGGAUUUCUCUUUUGAUUGCUUCCUUUUCUCAAAGAAAUAAGCCAGGUCAUCAGCUGAGUACGAAGAUGAGAGCAUAUGUCUUAAUUCAUCUCUGUAUCAUCCUCUUGUCCCCAGCAAUUAACAUGAUGCCUGGCACGAGGUUGGCAUUAACACAGGUUGGUAAAUAAGUGAAUUGGAGAUCUGCCAAAUGACUUCACAUUAGGGUUUCGGUUUUCUUUUCUGUCUUGGAGAUGUAAUUUCACUCUAGUUUUGAUCUGUUUUAUGUGUUUAGAAUAUUUGUUGGAAUUAUGCAAAAAGAAGAAGGGAUAUCAUGAUAGAAAACAACAUAUUUUUGACUAAAAAUAUAAUAGAUGAGUGAUUUCACAUUAUAUGCAUAUAGUGUUUUAUAUGUACAUGUAUGCAUGUUACAAAUUUACCUACUUUUACACCAACUUAAAUAUUUGUUAAUAAUACCAGAUACAAUAUAUAUUAAAUGAGACGCAAAUCCAUUAUAGACAUUGACAACAUUCUACCAGCUAUAAAAAUAGACACUUUCAAAAGAUUGAGAGAAGUCAGGUCCAUGCAUGACCAGCACAGCUCUGUGUGUGUGUGUGUGUGUGUGUGUGUGUGUGUGUGUUGGUGAGCGAGCUCUAGGUAGACCCUCGAGCUACAUUAUAGAAAUCACUAUACCUCAUCUACCUAGUCCUAAGUCUGGCCUGGGUAGUACCAUUUCCUGUUUUGCCUUCCCAGCUAAUGAUUUCUGUCCAGCUAUUUAUCAGUGACUUAGCCUUAAAAGCUCCUAAUAUUAUAUCAUAUUGUCAAGGGAAGAACAUGAGGAAAGGCUUCUUUAAAAGUCUAAAAGCCAAGGUGGUGGGGGUUAGAUACGCAAGGAAGAGGGGUGUGAAUUAGUAAAAAACAGAGCUGAAAAGUUAUGUAGAAGCGUGACAUAUUUUGCAUUUGGAAGUCUUCCCAACCUGAAGCUAGCUGCAGUGGUAACAGAGGGGAAAGCUGGCAUCUGUUGGAUGACGGUAGUCUCUGGGACUGCCGUGGUUUUAGUCUGCGGAGGGGCUGCCUGUUCAUCUUCUCCCAAGCAGGGGCUCUUGAAGAAUACAGCUGGUAGGCAGUGCAGUCAAUUUUAGUUUGCCUCAUUUAUCUCCUUUUUUUAUAUCUUAUUUUUCUCUUUUAUUUUAUAUCUUAUUAUUUCUUAUUUGGGCUUUUUCCCUCCUCUCUUCCCCCUUCUCUUUCAACCAAUUCAUAGAAUUCACUGUGACAAGCAGGCAGCAGGACAUGGAAACUAGUCUCAUAAAUUAUGACAAGAUGACCCCCCAUCAGUUUGGCUCUGAACAACAAGAGUGGUAGGGGGCUUACGUAGGAACAAGAUGAAAGUGAGUGGAUAUGAAGUGGUCCCAGGGUCGUGCCUGAGAGAGGGUGGAAGACCAGGAGAGAGAUGGCUUAAAGCAUUGAUAUUGAAUUUUAGGGCUCUGAAAUUAUAUUGACUGGAUUAUUGGAACAUUGAGAGUGAGAAGGUGGUCUCAAGGCCAACUCAUGCAAACAGAGAUUGCAUUUGGAAGCCCUGAACCACGGCUGGAUGUGUUUUCUGUCAAGAUAGAUGCACACAGAGAAAGCAGAGGGAAGAGGAAAAUGCUUCCACCUGCAUCUGCCCUGGCAUGCUUCAGCCAUUAGCGCUUCUCUUUCCAAGCAUUCAAGCAUAAUAAAUAGGAAGAGUCUCGUCAACUGCCCGAGACUAUAUUUAUUCAAAUCAGCCAGAAUGGGUUUCUCAAAGCAAAUGUCAACAUAUCAGAGAGGUGCAAGUGAUCUAGGAGAACAUAGUCUUUUUUUUUUUUUUUGAGACAGAGUUUCGCUCUUGUUCCCCAGGCUGGAGUGAAAUGGCGCGAUCUCGGCUCACCGCAACCUCCGCCUCCUGGGUUCAGGCAAUUCUCCUGCCUCAGCCUCCUGAGUAGCUGGGACUACAGGCAAGCACCACCGUGCCCAGCUAAUUUUUUGUAUCUUUAGUAGAGACGGGGUUUCACCAUGUUGACCAGGAUGGUCUCGAUAUCUUGACCUCGCGGCGCGGUGGCUCACGCCUGUAAUCCCAGCACUUUGGGAGGCUGAGGCGGGUGGAUCAUGAGGUCGAGAACAUAGUCUUAAGACAACUCUGAAACACGUUAAAACACUCAAAGGCAGUUGAUACAUUUCCAGGCUCUACAAUUUACCUAUAUUGUAUACCAUGUUGUAAAAUUUCUAUACUUUUCCAAAUGUUCAGUGCUAUUUUGCUUUUAGAAGGCUGUAAUAAGUGUGAAAUGGGUUGUAAAGAUAGUAACAUAUUCACCCUUGUAUAUUUACAGCACAUUCCUGCAGGCAACUUGUAGCUCAGUGGAACAUUUACUCUGUAGUAUAAUUUUUCAAUAAUAUUACAUACAUUAAUAAAGGUAAUUUAGAAGAAGCCCCAUAAAGUCAUUUGACUUUUUUUGCCAAUUGCCAAAGUAAUAAAAAUGCCUUUGCAUUAUGCUGCAGUGGAAAGCUGUGCCCUUUUGCUUGAUGAAGUCCCUUCAGCAUUUACAACUAGUAUUUGUGUGUCACUUUAUUGCCAUCUUGUUUUAAUUUGAGCUAUGGAUUUCCUGCUCUGAAUGGCGCUACCCUUAUAGUUUUGGAGAAGGGCACUCUUAUCUUGCACAGUAGGAAGAUCAGAGGUGUGAAUCCUGGCCUAGAAUGCCCUAUCUCUACUAACUGCUCGUGAUACUAGAUUAUACCCCAGGCUCCCAGUUCAAUCAGGUUUUCCAGUCAAUGCUUAGCAAGUGUUUAUUCAUCAUCUUCUAUGUGCUUAGCUCUGUAGUAGUGACUGUGGGCGUUACUGAAGCAAGAUUGUAGUCUGUGGUAAGAAGUUUUUAAAUAGCUUUGCUAAGGGUCUGGGGUAGAGGGUGAGACAGCCCCAGUACGUGUUUCAGCUUCCAUAGAUGAUCACUACAUUUCUCUGCCAGAACCAAGGAGAAUUGUCUUAAUUCUGAGAAAAAGGAAAGACUGGGAAGAAAGAGGAGGGAGGGUCUAUGAGGAAAGAAGAUGGUGAGUUAAUAAGGAAGGAAGAAGAAAAGGGAAUGCAAAAAGACAGAUUCUGAGAUUGCUCCUUAGUUUGAGAAGUGAUUUCCUUCUUUGGAAACCUUUAGGAAAUUUUACUGUCCCUACAGAUAUUUUGGGGUAUAGGAUCUGCAGAGGAAUCUGAUAGAGGACUGGAUUUCUAACUGAUGUAUGCUUAAGCCACAGGGGCUCAUAAAACCAUGUUUAUGGGAGAGCUUUAGGCUUCAUCUGGCCGUGGACUUGGGGGGUGGUCUGUGUCCAUUAAAUCUAGAUCUCUUGGAACAGGGAGGCCCAGCCAACUUUUGAGUUAAACCAUAAUCAGAGAUUCCAAUCAAAAUACUUAUAACCAGAUCAGAAAAUUAAAACCAACAUACAAAGCCAAGCCAUCCGAUAGAGACAGUAUAACAAAGUGGCACAUUGUGAGUUAUGCUGUGCUGGUCAGGAGAGGAAGGACCCCUGCAAGAUGAGAAUGGGUUUUAAAGAGCCUCUUGAUUUCCUGACCAAGCAAUCUAAGACCCCUUUAAAGGAAUAUGCAAGACUAAAUGGGGGCCUUAGAUGGUCUAAGGAUUUGGCUCAGCUGAACAGAAUUUGGGGGCAUGCAAAGAAAGAGAUGCACACACAAACAGGUGUGCGUCAGGUAGAGGAAGUGUGGCUGGCCCACAGCUGAGUUCCUUACUCCUUGGUCUAUGGUCAGAACUUUCUGGGCCCUGAUUCCUACAAAUAUGUUAGGUCCAGACUCAAACCUGUCCUUCACACACCACGUCCCAGAAAUAACAAAUACCAUAGUUCAUUCACUCAUUCAUUCAAAAAGGUGGGUAACAUUCUUAUUGCUAGAAUUACAGUGGUAAAUAAUACAGGCAGAGUUUCUGCUGUCCUGUCCCAUGGGAGAGACAGAGGCCUAACCUGUAAACCCACACAGUCAGACAGCUCUAAAUUGUAAUUGAUAACUUGGAGAGAGCCAACAGGAUGCUGUUGGAGGCCACUGCAGGGCCUUGCUGGGGAGAUGAUGUUUAAUUUGGGACCUGAAAAAAUGAUCAAGAAAAAGUUAUGAAGAGAGUAUGGGGACAGAGAAAGGAAUGGCUCAGGGAGAGGGGAAAGAGUGUGUGAAGGCCCUGAGUGGGGAGUGAAUUUAAUGCUUUGGAAGAUGUUUGAAGAUCAGCCUGGCAGAGUUAGUAAGGCAGUUAAGAAGCCUGAGACAGAGCUGGGGAAGAGAGUUGGACCAGAUAAUUUAAAGCCUUGUAAGCCAAACACAGGAAUUUAGAUUCUAUGCUGACUGCAAUGAGAAUUCAUCAGAAGAUUUUGAGCAGAAGUUUUAAACCUGUUCAAAGAUUUUUUUUUUCAUUUCUUGGUUUCUCUGUAAAAAAUUUCAACAAUACAUUCAACACAAGAAGUGUUGACUUUACAGGCGUGUGCAAGCUGCAGUCAUCUAUGCUACAGAAAAUGGCAUAACCUGCUAAGGUUUACUCAUUACAGGUCCUGGAGCAGCCAACAGAUGGGUAAUAACAUUUAGUCACUGCCGACUGGUAAUUACAGUAUGCAUUUAAAGAAGAAAUAAGUACAUUUACUGCUUCAAGUUCUCUCUUACGAAAUGGAGAACCAAUAUCUCCCAAAUUGUAUACCAGAGACGCAAUCCAUAACCCCAGAACUGAUAGAACACUCCCUGAGGUUAAUACUUCAUGCAUGACCUGUGAUUGCAGUUGUACGUUAUAUCUGUUUUCAUUAGAUGUUCCCCUUUAUUGAGUUUUCACAGUGCACAUCAGCAGCCUUUGUGUGCCCCUGUUCAAAAUAAGCUGCUUGCUUUUAAAAUGUUCUGGACUAUAUAAUUUCAUUUGAGCCAUUAUGGGAAACACAUGGUUCCCGUGUGUCUGGCUUUUUAAAUCUUUUCACACUCUUGUCUAAGACUGUGGUUUGGAUAUUGAUCCCAAACUAUGUAGGUCUAAAGAGUCGUGGCUGUCAUUUUUUUAUGGAUGGAUUUACCCCUCCUGCUCCUCAAUGCAGAAUUUUCUGCUCCUGAGAGGAGGGUUUCUAAUUUAGGUCAUUUUGCAAGAAGGCAUUGCACAUACUUUGACACAAACAAAGUUCUUGGUUUGCAUGCAGCCAAGAGAAUGACAGCUCAGCCACUCAGGGCCUGAUGCUUGUACUCAGGGAGCUGCUGUAUCAGAAUCAGAGUUUGGGCUCUGACCUGGCUCUCUACCAAAUCCUGGAUCAGAAGCUGGGCUGUGUCACGUCUUCCUUUGAGGGAUUCAUUUUUCCACCCACAAAAUGGCUAUUAUUUUUUCUUUAUUUUAGUUUUCUGGGACCAGAUAGAAAUUUCUGAAAUAAGGGCUGCCUUGUAGUUAUGGGUGACAUAGUCUCAUUUAUGGCUCUCAUCCUUUUCUAUCUGAUUUAAAAACCAAAUGGAAGCUAUAUUGCUGUGAAGAUACAACUCAUGUAUAGAUUGAUAGACAGAUAUAUACAGACACACAAAUUAUUAAUAGUAGCCAUCUCUGGAUGGUGAUAUUUUAAUUAUUCGUUUUGUUAUUGACAUUUUCUAACUUUUUUACAAUGAACCCAAAUUAUUUAUAUAUUGAAAAAAGUACCAAAAAAAAUCUCAUUCUUGGUGCUCAGAGCAAGGGAACUGUAAGUCAUGGUGAGCUGAGAAAAGGAGAGAAAUAAUAGCCUUAAGACAGCCUACAGGACCAGCCACCCCACGAGGCACUCAGGGUGUGGCUGCCUUGGACUUUGUUGUGUGUAUGCGUGUUCAUGUGUAUGUGCAUGUGUGUGCAUGUGUGCAUGUGUGCAUAUGUGUAUAUGGGCAUGCAUAUAUGUGUUGUGUGCAUGUGUGUGUUAUAUGUAUGGGCAUGUGUGUAUAUGUGUAUGAGUAUUCAUGAGUGUGUUAUGUUUAUGUAUGUGUGUGGUAUGUUAUAUGCAUGUGCUUGUGUGUAUGCAUAUUCAUGUGAGUUUGUGUUCCAGACGCUCAAAACCAUCCCAUGCUGACCCCUGGGACACAAGCCCAGCAUUCUUCAUCUGGGAUCUCUCACUCUUCACUUGGGUUUCUAUCUUCUGCAAAGAGUUGCUUCUGAGGCAAUGAAGGCCUUGGCUCCGUGUGGUCAGGGAGAUGUGCGGAGCUCAGCAAUGGAAAAUUCCUCAGUUAAUAUCACCAAAUUUCAUUCCGGCAUAUGCAAUAUGGGACCAAUUAUGUACCCAUGUCUUCAGAUUGUUAUGAGGAUUUAAUGAGAUAAUCCAUGAGAAACCUUUAACACACUGCUUGGCAUGUAGAAAGGGCUCCAUAAAUGUUGCCUGUUAUUAUUAUUACUGUCACUAUCAUGCUGCUCAUUGCUUUCCACUGGGAAACAAAAAUAGGCUCCUGGAUUCACUGUCCCUGCCCAUGAACAGAAGCCAUGGCAGCACCCAGUGACCUUCUCCUCAAACUCAGCUUCUCUGAAUUAGGUGAGCCCCUGAGCCCUUAUAAGUAGCCUUAUCUUACCUCCCACAUCCUGCUCUAAGGAGCCUUCAGGAAUUUAAAAUUUUUUUUUAAUUUUUAUUUAUUUAUUUAUUUUUGAGGCAGAGUCUUACUCUGUCACCCAGGCUGGAGGUGCUGUGGUGCAGUCUCGGCUCACUGCAACCUCUACCUCCUGGGUUCAAGCAAUUCUCCUGCCUCAGUCUCCCAAGUAGCCAGGACUACAGGUACGCGCUAUCACACCUGGCUAAUUUUUUGUAUUUUUAGUAGAGACAUGUUAGCCAGGAUGAUCUGGGUCUCCUGACCUCAUCAUCUGCCCACCUUUGCCUCCCAAAGUUCUGGGAUUACAGGCGUGAGCCACGGUGCCCUGCACCUUCAGGGAUUUUGUAACUUCUAAGUCUGGUGGUCAGUAGCUCUCUGUGCUCCUCUAUCCACCUCAGACCAGGCCAAGGUAAAUGCUCAUAUGUAACACAUGGAGACCUAGGCAUGCUGGCUCAGCUUUGGAGCAGUGGAAGCAACGAGAAGCCACUGGAGGAAGCCAAUCAACCACACACCCUCCCAGGUCCUGGCAUCUGACCCAAGUAUCAGCCAACCAGUAUCGCCACCUGCUGACACAUUUACGUGGUAACAGAUUAUGAGAGGUUCGGCAAAGAUCCUGAACUGUCUUAUCCACAACGGCACAAACCACUUGGAGUGGAAGGAAACACUAUAUAGAAAUUGCCAUCUGCCCAAGCAGGCUGAUUAGAUGACAUCUGCAGACCUCUAUAGAACCAGCUGAUACGUUCACGCUUAGCUUGAAGUCUGGAUUAUACAACCCCACUACAAGCUGGUGGAAGGCAGACUGUGAAGGAGAUGAAGGCUCCCACUCAGAGGCAGCUAACAUAGCAGCCAAAAAAGAGGAAGCAGAAGUCAGCAACUGAGGACAACAGAACAGAACUAAUUCAGGAUUGUCCUGGGCUAUCAAGAUGUGUGGUCAUCUGACCUACGCGGCAGCUCUAAGCCUUGUUGUACCUGCCUGAUUGCGUCUUCCCUGGGCCCACCAGCUCAUCUGUGCUCACCCCAGUCCAGCCACACUAGCUUUCCUGAUGAUUCCUGAAUAUGCCAGGUUUUCCAUCUGUAAAAUGGGGAAAUAGUACCCACUUCACAGGCUUGUAGUCAAAAUCAAUGAAGAUAAUGUGUGUGAAGGGCUGAGCACAGAGCCUGGCGCAGAGCUCGACGGUGACUGACUGGUGCCCAGACUGGCAUUAUGAGAAGCAAGACAGACUGCUAACAUUUGCUGUCAGACAGCCUCCAGGGUGACUGUGUAUGAAAGGAGGGAGGAUCCAUGCCUGGCUCAGUUUCCUGCUGCUGUGGAAAGGACAUCAGGGGACUUUGUUUAUAUAGGAAGAUAAUGUGGCUGCCUCCCUGUGUCUCAGACCUGACUGUGACCCGAGGACUCCUCCUACACGUCUCUGGACUGAUCCUUGGCUCCAUUCUCCAGCUGCACACUCAGGAGCUUGGAUGUGCCCUGAAGCCUGUACUCGCUGCAGGAGAGCUCCAUAAAGUUGAGAAGGCAGCAAGUGGCCCAGAGAAUGUGAUGAGCAGAGGGAGGAAUGAACAUAGAAACAAACAAACAAAAAAGUAAGCAAGGAAUCAAGCAAGAAGGAAAGAAAGAAAGAAGAGGAGGUAGGGGUGGAGUUUGCCCUGCUGUUUCCACAGCCUCCUUUACAGCCUGUUCCUCCUCUCUGGUCGUAACGACUUGACUCAUGUUUACUGAAUGCUAACAUUAUGCCCAGCAUCGUGCUGAGUACUUUACAUGACAUUCAUAGCUUAGUUCCAACAGGUUAUAUGACGAUUUUAGAGGAAGAAUUAGAGAGGCUAAGAAGCUCACCUGAAAUCAGAUGCUAGUAAAUGAGAGGCCAGAUUUGAAUUCAGAGCAUAUCCUCCAAAGCCACUAUUCAUACUGCCUCUUUUCUGACCGCCCUCUUUUCUCUAAGUGCCUAAUGACUUAAAUUCCCCCUCAGCCUUUUUUAGCUCUUUGAGUCUCACUGUACUACCUCAUGCUAGAAGCAUAUCCUACAUCACUUCUUAUCCCUUUUAUUAAUCCAGACUUACAUGGUUCUGUAUUUAUUCACCCAAAAGUUCCCUUUUUCUGACAGAAUAAACUAAUUUCUACUAAAGUGUUAAUGACUACCAAGGAGUAAUCUUUAACUUUAAACUGAAAACCUUCUGCAUUGUCACAGUGGAUUAGCAUGCUUUAAGACCUAGGAGAGAUAAAUUUAUAAACUUCAUACAUUAUCUGGACCAGUGAGAGAGAAAAUGUGGGGUUAGGGAAGGGAGAUUGGGGCGUUCAUCCUUGCACCCUGUGAAUAACAUUAUUUUAUGAGCCUUACAUAUAAUAAAUAUUCAAUAAAUGUUUGCUGAAAAAUUA